GUCUGCGUGGAGCCGACCUUGAAAUACCACCCUUUAAUGUUUGAUGUUCUAACGUGGACCCGUAAUCCGGGUUGCGGACAGUGUCUGGUGGGUAGUUUGACUGGGGCGGUCUCCUCCUAAAGAGUAACGGAGGAGCACGAAGGUUGGCUAAUCCUGGUCGGACAUCAGGAGGUUAGUGCAAUGGCAUAAGCCAGCUUGACUGCGAGCGUGACGGCGCGAGCAGGUGCGAAAGCAGGUCAUAGUGAUCCGGUGGUUCUGAAUGGAAGGGCCAUCGCUCAACGGAUAAAAGGUACUCCGGGGAUAACAGGCUGAUACCGCCCAAGAGUUCAUAUCGACGGCGGUGUUUGGCACCUCGAUGUCGGCUCAUCACAUCCUGGGGCUGAAGUAGGUCCCAAGGGUAUGGCUGUUCGCCAUUUAAAGUGGUACGCGAGCUGGGUUUAGAACGUCGUGAGACAGUUCGGUCCCUAUCUGCCGUGGGCGCUGGAGAACUGAGGGGGGCUGCUCCUAGUACGAGAGGACCGGAGUGGACGCAUCACUGGUGUUCGGGUUGUCAUGCCAAUGGCACUGCCCGGUAGCUAAAUGCGGAAGAGAUAAGUGCUGAAAGCAUCUAAGCACGAAACUUGCCCCGAGAUGAGUUCUCCCUGAGACUUAGAGUCUCCUGAAGGAACGUUGAAGACGACGACGUUGAUAGGCCGGGUGUGUAAGCGCAGCGAUGCGUUGAGCUAACCGGUACUAAUGAACCGUGAGGCUUAACCUUACAACGCCGAAG
rnacentral:rRNA from 4 species